rnacentral:rRNA from 1 species
AACGGAGGGUGCAAGCGUUGUUCGGAAUUACUGGGCGUAAAGCGCGUGCAGGCGAUCUUUUAAGUUCCGUGUGAAAUCCCCCGGCUCAACCGGGGAACGGCGCGGAAUACUGGGAGACUUGAAUACGGGAGAAGUGGGCGGAAUUCCCAGUGUAGAGGUGAAAUUCGUAGAUAUUGGGAGGAACACCGGUGGCGAAAGCGGCUCACUAGACCGAUAUUGACGCUCAUACGCGAGAGCAUGGGUAGCAAACAGG